rnacentral:rRNA from 1 species
GUUAGACGAAUAACCUGGAAAGGUUAAUCAUAGAAGGUAAUAAUCCUGUAGUCGAAAACGUAUACCCUCCUGAGUGGAUCCUGAGUACGGCGGAGCACGUGAAAUUCCGUCGGAAUCUGGGAGGACCAUCUCCCAAGGCUAAAUACUCUCUAGUGACCGAUAGUGAACCAGUACCGUGAGGGAAAGGUGAAAAGUACCCCGGAAGGGGAGUGAAAGAGAACUUGAAACCGUGUGCUUACAAGUAGUCAGAGCCCGUUAAUGGGUGAUGGCGUGCCUUUUGUAGAAUGAACCGGCGAGUUACGAUCUGAUGCAAGGUUAAGCAGAAAAUGUGGAGCCGUAGCGAAAGCGAGUCUGAAUAGGGCGAAUGAGUAUUUGGUCGUAGACCCGAAACCAGGUGAUCUACCCUUGGUCAGGUUGAAGUUCAGGUAACACUGAAUGGAGGACCGAACCGACUUACGUUGAAAAGUGAGCGGAUGAACUGAGGGUAGCGGAGAAAUUCCAAUCGAACUUGGAGAUAGCUGGUUCUCUCCGAAAUAGCUUUAGGGCUAGCCUCAAGUGAUGAUUAUUGGAGGUAGAGCACUGUUUGGACGAGGGGCCCCUCUCGGGUUACCGAAUUCAGACAAACUCCGAAUGCCAAAUAAUUUAAC